rnacentral:lncRNA from 1 species
UUUGUUUGUCAGCUGAUUUUGAGAUGGGGAGAUUAUCCUGGGUUAUCCAGAUGGGCCCAAUGUAAUCAAGGGUCCUGAAAAGUGGGAGAAGAAGGCAGAAGAGUCAGAGAGAGUAUGUGAUGUGAGAAAAACUCAACCAGCCAUUACUGGCUCUAAAGAUGGAGGGAGGGGCCACGAGCCAAGGAACGGAGGCAGCCUCUAGAAGCUGGAAAAGGCCAGGACAAGGAUUCUCCCCUCCGACUUCUAGGAAGAAAUGCAGCCCUACCAACACUUUGAUUUUAGCCCCAGGAAGCCCAUCUUGGACUCUUGAUCUCCAGAACUGUAAGGAGAAAAUCGAAGCUCCAAGAGGCUAAAUAAUUGCUGAAGUCACAUGGUCAAUAAUUGAGGGGUCCAGGACCUGUGCCCAGGCAAGUUUGCUCCACAGUCGGUGUUCCUGGACGCUGUACUCUGAUACUUGUCAUAUGUCAUCAUUCAACUUCCGUGGACCAUCUGCUUCCAGAAUUCCUCGGAGAAGCUCAGUUUAAGAUCUCCAAUUGCUGUGCCUAAAGAAGUUAAGGAUACUUUGUUUCCACAGCAGUCUGAAGUCAUGAGCUCUUCUGAAAGCAUAUAGGCUAAUUCCUCCAGUAAAAAAAGAUUAGAAAUGUAUCUUUUAUAUAUCAAAAUAUCUCCAUAAUGGCUCUUGCAAUUCCAAGUCUUCCUUAAUGAACUGUUGCCAGUUAUCAGGGUAGUCACAGGAUUACUUUGAGAAGACGUGUAGGAAGCAGAUGUUCUGUUGGAGGAGGUUGUGGCUUUGAUGCAGACAAAUUCACGAUGAACACAAAUGAGGCUAUACGCUGUUGAAAGUCUAAACUGGUGAGUGCUGUCUUGGAUCUUUGAAGAAUACAAGUUAGGAAGAAGCCAUAUGAUACACAACGUGACAAACUGACUUCAGAAUAUGUAGUUAGCAAAGUGAUCUUCUUUCAUAAAUUGAUAAGGCAAGGAAUGUCCCCACAUAGACUUGGUUGAUGGUGUGGGUGGCAAAAGAGACCCAAGCAUUACUGACCAGUCACCUUUGCACAAAUUGGUUGUCAUUCUUGCAGACCGCCAAAUAUCAGUCCAUGGGAUUCACUUGAUUGGAGGGUUAUUUGCCCUAAGCCCCCAUCUCCCCUUAUGGGGCAAUCUCUUGUACACUCAACAGACAUAAUACAGAACAAAAUGGAAACACACGAGUCAAGACUUGGUACAGAAAGAGGAAGAAAAAUUGAAAGUGAAGCAAGCAGUAGAAGAAUGAGAAGAUGAACUAUGACUAUGUUUACCAAAUGUUGCACUCUCACAAAAAAAAAUUCCUUUCUUCAAAGACAUACUUUUUAAAUAAAUUGUAGAAUAGCCAAAUAAGUUCAACAAAGCAAGUUCAAUGAAACAAGUCAGAUCUGAUAUCACUGUUUAGAGACUCGUGGGCAGCAGUUCAAAAGGCCUAUGAGAGUGUGGGGAUCAAGAGGCCAUCUUAGUUCUCCUAUUAUUCUAGGGUUCCUGGAAUGACACCAAGAGAGGCUCUUCAAAGGAAUCUGGUGGAACCUCCACUUGUCAAGGGAAGAAAUUUCCGUGCAAUGUCUAAAGAAACUCAGUUGUUAUAUAUUUCUUAUUUGCUUAAGAAAGGCAGGUAAAUGUUUGUUAAACCCAACCUCUCCAACUGGGAUUAGCAGAUUUUGAAUCUGGCAUGGUUAAGAAUUGGCAGACCCUUAGAUGUAAAAGUGGGACAUUGUUGAGUGGCUAUUUAAACUCAGUUGACUUUCUUACCCUUCACCCUCAUUAAUUUCCAAUCCACUCCAGUUUCUCCACCAGCUAGAUUCUUUCAGGGUAAGUCAACAAGAUGCUUCCACGUUACUCUUCCCAAGUCACCUAUUUGACCUGUCUGUGGUUUGCUGAAAUGUUUCCCAUGAUGCUCAGUGUCCAUGGAAUAAAUGUGUCCAAGUUCCUCCAAACAUUCUACAUCUGACUCAUGCUGCCUUCCUUUCCCUGCCACUUGCCUGAUUCCUCUCCAGGUGCUUCACACACCGGUCAGUGAGUUGUUUAUAAGUAAACUGAGCAUCCUUUAUACUUUAUCAUGUGUGUCCUUUCGCUUGUGUUCUUCUUUCCACCUGAAAUGUUCAACACCCUCAACUCCAUUUAGAUAACAUACACCUGUUCCUUCUGACUCCAGUCAAAAGUGUUCUCUGAUUAUUGACCUUGACAGGAGCAUAUAAUAUCCAUUCUUGCCCCUGAGUUGUAAGUAUAACUUGGUAUAUGGGGAGGAAGCAAAAACCUGCAUUUCUCAGUUGCUGACUGUGCCCUUGGGUGAUUUCAUUUUACACCUUCAUUGGUAAAUUCAGAACAAUAUUAUCCAUCCUUUUUUCUUCUACAGAUUUGUCGAGAGAAUUCACAAAGUUAAUGUUUAAGAAUGAACAAUUUAGACCAAGAAGCACCGUUCUAUGUACUUCUUUCUUACUGCGCUGUUUUGUUGUUAUUUGUGUGUGGAUUAUCUCUUGCAGUCUGUAACUCCUCAGAAUAAAGACCAAGGUGGCAUGAAUCCUUAAAUCACCUCAAAGAGCAGGGUCUCAGACACAAAGUACCUUGUAACACACUCCCGUGUCAGUAAUAGAGUCAUAGAAGAAUAUUACCAAAAAAGAGUUAUACCUUAUACCUAAUAGCCCUUAGAUUUUACACAUGAUAGGUUUGAGGGAUGUGUGUCUUUAAAUAAAAUUUAAUUCCAAAUUAUAGAUUAUAACAUUUUUAUAGUCAUUACAAAGAAACGACUAACAUCUAUAUCAAAAUCAAUGUAAACUGUUUCUCUGCUUUAAAAUGACCAAGCAUCCAAGAAACAAAUUUCGAUAACGCUUUUUUGACUUCUGUCACUUCAUAAUUUUUCUCCAAGAUUUCAAGGUAAUACAACUUAAAUAAACUAAAAACCUUUCUCCUCAUGAAAUAAAAAAAACUGCCAAAAAAUUGCGUUCACAACUCUAUUCCAACAAAUACUUGACAUCUCAUAUUGUAUUGCUGUGGGCACAUCUCUCUAUUUUGUCUGAUCUAGCAAUAAAAUUUAUGGGCCUUGGCUUCUGUGAACUCUUUGGAGAAAAAUAGAAGCCCUGGGAUGUUGUAUGCCUUUUGUUUCCUCAGUCAUACGAUCAUUUACGUCCAUCUGCAAGCUUCUCCAUCACAGGAAGCUGCUGGCCGCAGCUGCUCACAUCGCAUUUUAACUCUCUUCCCAGACAAGGUCCAUCCUUUACAAUCAUAAAACUCUUGGACACACGCU